rnacentral:misc_RNA from 1 species
UUUCCGUAGGUGAACCUGCGGAAGGAUCAUUAUUGAAUACGAUUUGUACUGAUGUUGGCUCUUCACUGGGCAUGUGCUCGUCCAUCUUAUUUAUCUUCUCUUGUGCACAUUUUGUAGUCUUGCAUACCUCUGCGCAAAUUCAUUUUGCUGCAGCUUGGGAGAUGCUAACCCUUCUCUCGUUGCCUUUGUGCAAGCCUUGGGGAAUGUUAACCCUUUCAUCGCGUCUUCAAGACUAUGUUUUCAUAUACACUAUAAAGUUACAGAAUGUCUUUUAACGACUGCUUGCAGUCAUUAAACCUAUACAACUUUCAGCAACGGAUCUCUUGGCUCUCCUAUCGAUGAAGAACGCAGC